GUCUCUGCUGAAAGCUGGAGCCACCCCCACUGACGUUGGGUUAUUCCUUUUGUGAUGCCCCUGCAGGAAACAGAAGUUGUCGUGGCAGCAGUGGAGUGUCCACAGUGAUCCCUCGAAGGUCUCGGGCAGACUGUGUCUGCGCGUGAAGGGUGCUGGGAAGGUCCCUGCAGGAGCCUGACUGCCGAGGCUGCUCCAGGUUUCUGGCAGCAGAUGACAGGCUGGGACGGCAACGGGAGAAGGAGCACGGCUUAACUCCGCGCGGAGGGUCAUCCGAGAGCGCGCCGCUGCCUGCUGGCAUGUGGACCGGGUCAAGCGACAAAGGAGAGAAAGAAAUCCAAGUCCUCUCUCACAAAAGUCAAAUGCUCCUGCACAGGGCCGGACUGCAGCGAGGAUUUGCACAGCGGUGCUCGUUAAAUGAUAUGCAGAUGUACGUGAGAGUCCGCUGAAAUCAGUGAGCUAUUUGGAAACAGGCUGGGCUGGAAGCGCUGCGCUCUUGGCGAUUUGGGGAAAAGCUGUUUGCAUUUCUCCCAGCGGGGCUGCCGGCCGUCGCUGACCUCCGUGCGGCUCCGAGCGGUAGGUGCAGCGCGUCCCUCGCCGCCGCGACGGGCGCGCUGGAGGGCGGCGAGGCUGGG
rnacentral:lncRNA from 1 species